rnacentral:rRNA from 1 species
GAUGAACGCUGGCGGCGUGCUUAACACAUGCAAGUCGAACGAAGCACUUUAUUUGAUUUCCUUCGGGACUGAUUAUUUUGUGACUGAGUGGCGGACGGGUGAGUAACGCGUGGGUAACCUGCCUUGUACAGGGGGAUAACAGUUGGAAACGGCUGCUAAUACCGCAUAAGCGCACAGCAUCGCAUGAUGCAGUGUGAAAAACUCCGGUGGUAUGAGAUGGACCCGCGUUGGAUUAGCUAGUUGGUGAGGUAACGGCCCACCAAGGCUACGAUCCAUAGCCGACCUGAGAGGGUGACCGGCCACAUUGGGACUGAGACACGGCCCAAACUCCUACGGGAGGCAGCAGUGGGGAAUAUUGCACAAUGGGCGAAAGCCUGAUGCAGCGACGCCGCGUGAGCGAAGAAGUAUUUCGGUAUGUAAAGCUCUAUCAGCAGGGAAGAUAAUGACGGU